GGGGCUGAGGCUCAGCAGUAGAGUACUUGCCUGGCAUGUAUGAGGCCCUGGGUUCAAUUCUCAGCACCA
rnacentral:tRNA from 1 species